CCUUCCAUUUGUUCACCGGGUUAUGAAACGAUAAACCCUUAUGUCCACCGGAUUUUCCUUCGUACCAAUCACCGAAAUGGGUAUGUCGCUUCAUGAACCACUUCUGUACCAUUUGAACCUAUCACUUCCUUUUGGCCUUCCUCUUUCUUUUCUCUUUCUUCACCUAUACUUUCUCCUUCAAUAACCACUUUCUCUCUGCAAACCCCACAACCUCUCCAAAAUGCUUCAACAGGUCUUCACCUCUGCAACUUUGUUCUGUCUGCGGCUAUAGCUGUGAGAGUCCAUCACAAAUGGACUGUUGUGUCCAAGAAUAAGGAACAUUUUGAGAUGCUAUUGUGUGAUAAAGAAGUUUUUGGGUUAUGCUUUCAGAUCUGAUGAUUAAAACCGUAGCAAGAGAAACACCGAGCCCAGGUAUUUGCUUUUGGAUUGUCGAUUCUAUUUCAAGCGAAGAAGAUAGAGAUCUAUUUGUGGGUUGUGGUUUUGUUCAAGCGAACAUUUGAUGGCGGCAUAUCUAAAGUUUUCGGUGAUUUCACUUAUGUGUGCGAUUUCGCAAUGGUAGAUCCUCUGCAUAUUAUCAUGUUUUUGUCGGAUCUAGAAGGUAGAUUUCCAAUUUGGGAGAAAGAAACAUAUAAGGUUCCACUAUACAAGCACAUUGCUGAUCUGUUUGGAAAAUCUAGCCCAAUGCUUCCUUUUCCUACGUUUACUGUUAUAACGGGUGGAAAAUAUGCUGGAAUUAAUUAUGACAUGGCUGAAUAAACACAAUGGUUGAAUAUUUGAUGCAGAAAGAUAAACAAACAUGAUCAAUAUAAAGUGAAUGAUCUAAAGCGAUUAUAUCAAUUUGAUUUGGGUCUCAACUUCCUUGCUAUUCUCUGAUUAAAGUGGUACAAGUUGGUAACUGUAUAUAAGUCAGAAAGAAAAUUGGGCAAGGGUGGUUUUCGUCAAGUGUGUGUUGGCAGAAGUGUUAGUGGCGGCUAUGAUAAACAGGGUGUACAUUUUGAUUGUGUGUCUUUGUUUUGGUAUGAAUUGUUGGAAGUGUAAACUUCAUUAUAUAUGUGCUUUAAUUGCAGACAGCAUCUAGGAUAGUAUGAAUACCAUAAGAACUACGAUGACCUAAAGUUCAUGGCAGGCAUGUCACUGUCAGAUAUUGAAAACCCCUUUUAUUCGUGAUUCUAUGGUGUCUUUUUUCCUGAUCUGUGUAACAAACUCGAAGUUGCCGCUGAGGUAAUUUUUAUGGAGACCAGAGGUGAAUGGUGUAUUGCCUAUCAGAUGCAGCGUGUAUAUGCUUGUCGUGCGAUCGAAAUGUUCAUUCAGCAAAUACCAUUGCUCAAAGGCAUUGAAGGACACUUUUAUGUGAGACAUACAAUUCCCAUCCUACUUUGGUUAGAUGUUUAGAAAGUGACAUAAUUGUGACCAAGAACUUGGUUUCAUGAGUAUUAAUAAGAAUAUAAGUGUUUGGUGACAUAAUUGUCCAUAAUUGUAAUA